rnacentral:tRNA from 1 species
GGGCGAGUGGUGGAACUGGCAGACACGCGGCGUUCAGGUCGCCGUGAGAGCAAUCUCGUGGAGGGUCAAAUCCUCUCUCGCCCA